rnacentral:rRNA from 1 species
AUUGAACGCUGGCGGCAUGCUUUACACAUGCAAGUCGAACGGUAACAGGGUGCUUGCACCGCUGACGAGUGGCGAACGGGUGAGUAAUACAUCGGAAUGUACCCAGUAAUGGGGGAUAACGCUUCGAAAGGAGUGCUAAUACCGCAUACGACCUGAGGGGGAAAGUGGGGGACCGCAAGGCCUCACGUUAUUGGAGCAGCCGAUGGCUGAUUAGAUAGUUGGUGAGGUAAAAGCUCACCAAGGCGACGGUCAGUAGCGGGUCUUAGAGGACGAUCGGCCACACUGGAACAGAGACACGGUCCAGACGACUACGGGAGGAAGCAUUGGGGAAUCUUGGACAAUGGGCAAAAGCCUGAUCCAGCAAUGCCGCGUGCGUGAAGAAGGCCUUCGGGUUGUAGAGCGCUUUUGUCAGGGAAGAAAUCCCUUGGGAUAAUACCUCGGGGGGAUGACGGUACCUGAAGAAUAAGCACCGGCUAACUACGUGCCAGCAGCCGCGGUAAUAC